CCUACGGGUGGCAGCAGUGGGGGAUAUUGCACAAUGGGGGAAACCCUGAUGCAGCGACGCCGCGUGGGCGAAGAAGUAUUUCGGUAUGUAAAGCCCCAUCAGCAGGGAAGAAGAAACGACGGUACCUGAGUAAGCAGCACCGGCUUAAGACGUGCCAGCAGCCGCGGUAAUACGUAUGGUGCCAGCGUUAUCCGGAUUUACUGGGUGUAAAGGGCGCGCAGGCGGCACGGCAAGCCUGAUGUGAAAGCCCGCGGCCCAACCGCGGGACUGCAUUGGGAACUACCGGGCUGGAGUGCCGGAGAGGUAGGCGGAAUUCCUAGUGUAGCGGUGAAAUGCGUAGAUAUUAGGAGGAACACCAGUGGCGAAGACAGCCUACUGGACGGUGACUGACGCUGAGGCUCGAAAGCGUGGGGAGCAAACAGGAUUAGAUACCCCUGUAGUC
rnacentral:rRNA from 1 species